rnacentral:lncRNA from 1 species
AGUUACCACUAUACUAGUGCAGGAGAAGCAGAAAGGAAGAUGCUGCUACCCAGAGCCCACAGUCAUUGUGCCCCUGAUGCCGCUGGAACCCCACUGCAGCUGCUUUACAGGAAGCAGGGAAUUAGCGCUCUUGCUGAUGCUACAGGUAUCCAGGAUCCAAAAGUCAUCAGCCGCUGUCCCUGUUGCAGCCUAGGGAAACUGUCCCACUGAGGUUGUUGGGGUACCUGCUACUGCAUCUACUGUCUGAACCAUGUUGCCUGAGCAGAUGUCCAGGGCUCAGGCUUGCCUGCUGCUGUUACUGCUGCCACCAUGUUUAUCAGAGCUACUUCAAGAAGAGAAGAAAUCCUCCUCAUUUCCAGUUUUUUCCAGUGCCUCCCAUUGCUUCCCAGAAUGCCAAAUUCUCUUUGAGAGACAGCUGAAAGGAAGGUUUGGAAAAGACUCUGGUGUAAGCAGAUUCUGCUUCCCUGCAAUAGGGGGAAAGCAUAGGGUGGAACUGGAGCUGAGAGCUAAUCACGAAUGAGCAAAUCAGUCUUCAAGACAUUUACCUUUCCUUGAAACGUUUCCCUUCUUUUACCGUGUUUUCCAUGUCAUUAUUUUUCCACAAUUCUGCAUCAUAUUCUGUUAACUAUUAAUGCCCUGGAUAAGUUUAUUUGCUCUUUCUUAGGGUUAAUUUUUCUCCUUUUCUUCGAAGCUUUAGUUUGCAGGUUCAGCUUGUGUGGGAAUUUUCAUCUCCCUCCUCUUCAAGACUCCUUGGAUAUCAGUUUUUUGGUUGCCUUCACCAACUCUCCCCCCACCAUCUCUAGACCAGGGCAUGGUCUUAGUUGGUGGCUUGGACUCCUGUGGCUUGGAGUCUUUGGGGAUAUUAGAGAUCCAGUCACUGAGCUGGCAAAGGGAACACUGUCCUUGCUUCCAGCUUUAUGAAGAACGCUUUGCUCUGUCACCCCACGUAAAUAAUCAUGUUAUUCAAGGAUAAUGAAUGCAGCCACCAUGUAAUCAUCACUGACUCCAUGGCCAUGAGAAAAGAGACCUAAGAAAUGAUGCCCAUCCAGAAGAGUGAAGACUUCCUGAAAAUGUUCUUUUAACCUAAGAUGUAGGUUAAGAGGAGUGAAAAAAUGUUCUGUUUCUGACUGAUGAUGGAGCAACAAAGGAACUCCUAAAGAAGAAAUCAUCCAUUCAGUGAGAGCAAAUGAACACUCCAACAGACUGAAACAAAGCAUCUUUACAGGAGAUGUGAAUGCGAGAAAGCAAAGAGAACUACAGUCAGGGUCUCCGCUGGCAUGGCCCAAGCCCACCGUGGCAUGAUCCAGAGAGACGAGUCAGCAGAGCACUAUGGGCAGCUCCCAUACUCUUCGCAGAUCAACAAGCCAGCAUAUAACCCAGGGAGAUAGAUAAUAGUGAUGCUGUGCUCUGUAGAGGGUAGUGGCAACAGUGGGAUUUCUUCUGGAAUAAAUCUGUAGUGAGCCAGAUGUUUCUGCUGACUAUAUUACUUCUGACAGUGUAUAAUCCAAAAUUGUUUCCUUGGCCUUCCAAAAAGUUUUAUAAGCUCCCUAACGGCUGCAAUAAAUCCCUUUCUUCUUAAA